GACGAGUGGCGGACGGGUGCGUAACGCGUAGGAAUCUGCCUAUUAGUGGGGGACAACAUGGUGAAAACCAAGCUAAUACCGCAUACGCCCUACGGGGGAAAGCAGGGGAUCUUCGGACCUUGCACUAUUGGAUGAGCCUAUGUCUGAUUAGCUAGUUGGUGGGGUAAUGGCCCACCAAGGCAACGAUCAGUAGCUGGUUUGAGAGGAUGAUCAGCCACACUGGUACUGAGACACGGACCAGACUCC
rnacentral:rRNA from 1 species